UCUCAUCGCAGGGGUCCUCUUCGAGUGGAGCAGGGUCAUCUGUGGUCGAAGAAUCCUCUCAGAGUGAAGUGAAGGGGGGGGCGGUUCAGGCGGUGCCCUCCGGGUCUGGUGCGGUGGCAGCUUGUCUGGUGGAGUCGGAGUACUGGAGGUGGCCCGUGAUGUGUUCCACGUAGAUGUCGCGGGACCAACGGAUAGUGUCGGACACCAUGAGGCAGCGCAUCAGCUUGGUGUAGCGGCGGGAGACGUGGCAGGCACGCAGGAUGCUCUCGUUGCUGGGAUCCCAGGCUCCAAGCAUUCCCACGAUGAAAUUAACUACAUUUUAAA